GGCGCUAUAGCCAAGUGGUUACGGCGACAGAUUAGAAUGGGGAAAAACGUUAUUAUCUGUUUCCCUUUGGGAGCGCAGGUUCGAAUCCUGCUGGCGUCG